rnacentral:rRNA from 1 species
CAUCGGCUAACUCCGUGCCAGCAGCCGCGGUAAUACGGGGGAUGCAAGCGUUAUCCGGAAUCAUUGGGCGUAAAGCGCCUGUAGGUUGUUUAAUAAGUCUGUUGUUAAAGACUAGGGCUUAACCCUAGAAAAGCAAUGGAAACUACUAGACUAGAGUAUGGCAGGGGUAGAGGGAAUUUCUAGUGUAGCGGUGAAAUGCGUAGAUAUUAGAAAGAACACCGGUGGCGAAAGCGCUCUACUGGACCAUUACUGACACUCAGAGGCGAAAGCUAGGGUAGCAAAAGGGAUUAGAUACCCCUGUAGUCCUAGCCGUAAACGAUGGAUACUAGAUGUUGUGCAUAAAGUACAGUAUCAUAGCUAACGCGUUAAGUAUCCCGCCUGGGGAGUACGCUCGCAAGGGUGAAACUCAAAGGAAUUGACGGGGGCCCGCACAAGCGGUGGAGCAUGUGGUUUAAUUCGAUGCAACGCGAAGAACCUUACCAGGGCUUGACAUACUACAGAUUCUUUUGAGAAAAAGAAGUGCCUUCGGGAAUGUAGAUACAGGUGGUGCAUGGCUGUCGUCAGCUCGUGUCGUGAGAUGUUGGGUUAAGUCCCGCAACGAGCGCAACCCUUAUUUUUAGUUACUAAUUCGUUAGGUUCUCUAGAAAGACUGCCGGUGACAAACCGGAGGAAGGUGAGGAUGACGUCAAGUCAGCAUGCCCCUUAUGUCCUGGGCUACACACGUGCUACAAUGGUUAAGACAAAGAGUCGCGAGCUCGCGAGAGUCAGCUAAUCUCAUAAACUUAGCCUAAGUUCAGAUUGUAGGCUGCAACUCGCCUACAUGAAG